rnacentral:rRNA from 1 species
UACAGAGGGUGCAAGCGUUGUUCGGAAUUAUUGGGCGUAAAGGGCGCGUAGGCGGUGCGGUAAGUCACCUGUGAAACCUCUGGGCUUAACUCAGAGCCUGCAGGCGAAACUGCCGUGCUUGAGUGUGGGAGAGGUGCGUGGAAUUCCCGGUGUAGCGGUGAAAUGCGCAGAUAUCGGGAGGAACACCAGUGGCGAAGGCGGCGCUCUGGGCCGGAACUGACGCUGAGGAGCGAAAGCGUGGGGAGCAAACAGG